GCUGACUGCCAGUGGGGAAGGAUCUCUUUCUGGAGAUCACUCUUUUGGAGUUUUUCCUCUGAGCCUUGGAUGUGGGCCAUUAACACUCUAAACAACAGGGAUUCAUGUGCAGGUUUAGACAUUUCAGCAUCAAGCAACACUCAUUCUACAGCAUAUUAAUUGUCGGAAUAAACCUGGGAUGCUGUUAUGUUUACACUUCCUACCCAGCAGUACUCGCCAUGUAGAUAUGUUCCUCCUGUUCAGUUACACAGACGCAGAGAAUGUGCCGUAGUUGAAUUCAGCUGUUCAAUAGCCAAAGAGGAGUUGUGGAAUUACAAGGACUUUUGAAACUUGAUACUUCACAUGUAUUGUAAUAUGUAAUGUACUUUUGGGACACAGAUACAAAUGCUAACAUUAAAUAGGUCAAAAAAAGCAUUACUUUAUUUGCAGAUGUUUAUGUAAUUUUGAGAUAU
ensembl:lncRNA